ACCUCCGUAGUUCAGUAGUUAGAACGCCGUACUUAUAAGUAAACGGAGAUAUGCGGAUGUCGCGAGUGCAAACCUCGCCGGAGGUA